rnacentral:rRNA from 1 species
AGUGAAUAGAUACCCGGGUAGUCCACGCCGUAAACGAUGAAUGCCCAGUCGUCGGCAAGCAUGCUUGUCGGUGACACACCUAACGGAUUAAGCAUUCCGCCUGGGGAGUACGGUCGCAAGAUUAAAACUCAAAGGAAUUGACGGGGGCCGCACAAGCGGUGGAGCAUGUGGUUUAAUUCGAAGCAACGCGCAGAACCUUACCAACCCUUGACAUGGCGAUCGCGGUUCCAGAGAUGGUUCCUUCAGUUCGGCUGGAUCGCACACAGGUGCUGCAUGGCUGCCGUCAGCUCGUGUCGUGAGAUGUUCGGUUAAGUCCGGCAACGAGCGCAACCCGACACUUCUAGUUGCCAGCAUUCAGUUGGGCACUCUAGAAGAACUGCCGAUGAUAAGUCGGAGGAAGGUGUGGAUGACGUCAAGUCCUCAUGGCCCUUACGGGUUGGGCUACACACGUGCUACAAUGGCGGUGACAAUGGG